CUGGGAUUAGAUACCCUGUUAUUUAAAAAUAAAAAAAAUAAAAUUAAAAAUUAAAUGUAUAAAUCAUUAAAUUAAAAUAAUUUGGCGGUAUUUUUAGAAUUAGAGGGAUUUGUUUUAUAAUUGAUAAUCCACGAUUAGAUUUACCUAUUUAAUAUAUUUUAUAUAUUGUUGUUUUAAUUUUGUCAUAAAUAUGAAUUACAUUAAAAAAUUUUAAUAUAAAUAUAAUUCAAAUCAAAAUGUAGAAUAAAUAGGAAUUUAAAUGAAUCACAAUUUAAUUAAUAAUUGAAUAUAUUUAUUUAAUUUAAUAUAGAAAGAGGAUUUAAUAGUAAAUUUAUUUAUAUAAAUAAAUUGAAUUAUAUAAAAAAUAUGUACAAAUCGCCC
rnacentral:rRNA from 1 species